AAAUGAUAUUGCAGAGAAAAGUAAAUUGCAGUUUGCAUGUAAUAGCAGCUAUUCAGAUGCUGUAUUGUGGCAAUCUUUAUACACACAAUGUGAAAUUGCCAAUAGUGAAAUUGCCAAGAAAUUGUUUGUUAAUAAGAAAAAACAAAAGAUCAGAAAUGUUAUGAAACUAGUCUGUACUUACAAUGCAUUGAUUUGUAAACGAGAUGCAGGUCAAGACAAUUUAGAAUCAGCAGAUAAAGAAGUAGAUUUGAAUGGGUUAACAGAAGACAAAUCAGAUUUAAAUGAACAGUGUAACAAUGUAACAGAGAGAAC